CGCAAUUGGGUAUUGACCUUGGCAAGAAAAAGUGCGAAGUAAAAAUACUGUUAUGGCCUUCAACUCGGCGCACUUCCUUUGCUUAGCAGAGAUAAACACCUCAAGAUGCCAGGUUUCUUAGUAAAUUUUUACCGGCGACUUUCGUUGUUUUGGUUGGUACGACGCCGGCUGGUGUCUUGCUCAUCAAUUUUAUUCCAUUUCUAGGAAACAGACCAGCCAUUGAGGCUAAAGCAAAUGAAAAGAAAAGACGAAACUGUAAUGAAAAUUCAUGUUUGAUUAGUUCUCGGAAAAAUUUUUUCUUUUUCCGUCUGCAUUGGUAGCCUCGACCAAUAAAGAUUUCUCAAUGGAGACAAUUUUUCUUGUAUUAAAGGUUGUUUCUUUGAUGGAAACACGAAAGCAUAUACUUUUCACGCAAUUCUAUAUUUGUGGGUGUGCUAAUCUUGUAAAGGGGCAAUGUUGUAGUGUAUUCAAAAUGUGGUAAAUAAAAUUAUUUAAAUUAAAAAUGUAACUUUUGAUAACAUUUGUGUCAUAUAAUCGUAAUCGUUUAUAUGAUACAGCUUCAAAGAAUGGCAACACUAAGAAGUGGUAAUGUCUGCCUGUGGUAUGCACGGAACCACGUGGACUAAAAUGGAUUCCAUAAAUAUCUAAUUCAAUAUUUAUUAUAAAUAAGGCCAUAUGUAUAUUUAAA